CACCGACAGUCUGCAUGUUCGCCGACAUGUCGGAUAACUGACGGAGGGAAAACAAAAAGGAAGCAGCUCUGAGCAGUCGGUCUGGAGAUUUAACGGCUGCAAAAUCUACCUUUAAACAUUCUGUGUUGUUUGAAGAAUUAGAGCAUCAGGAGGUUAAAGGUUAAAGGAAUUCUCAGAGCACAAUUUUUUUACUCUUUGCACUGGUCCCAGUUCAUAAGUAUAUGAAGUUUGAAACUGGGAGAGAAAUAAUAGAUGCAGAAACAGUCAAAUAAAUGAAGAAAUGUAAAAUAAAUAAAUGAAUGUAGAAAUAUUAUUAUUAUAUUGUCUCUUCAGAGGGCAGAAAGAUUGCAUUUAAUCAGAGGUCAACACUCGUUUUUAUUACAUCACACAUGUUUUAACGGUGUUCUUUACUAAAGCAGAGGUUUAUUAUCACUGUUAUUACCACUGAAGUUACUGCAUAGGUGUAAACAUUGUUUGUUUAGCAAGAAAUAGUACUUCUAUAUCCUUAGAAAGUACCAGAAAUGUGCAGAAAGUAGCUUGAAAUGCAUUUUUGAAAAGAAACAACAGUGUGGUGUACAUUGUAAUGGAAAACUACAAAAGUACAAAAAACUACAUCUUUUGAAUCAUUGCUCCCACCCACAAGGUGCAGAACCAAAAACAAUAAGAGGAAUUUCACUUCAGGAAAAAUCGUCGAAUUUCAAGUUGAAUAAAGGUCAUUUAGAGGGUUUUCUAUGCAAAUUAAACAUAGUUGCCGGGUCAUUUUUGACAAGGCAAUACGAGGGUUAAAUUGUGGGGGUGUUUCCGAGUCCCUCCAAUUCCCGCUGCCUGCUGCAUAUUUAGGUCACGUGAUUCGAUAUCCCUACAUAACGUACAUAUGCAGAACACACGCCUGUGCUCAGCGAAAGGUCAGUUUUUAUUAAAGAUUUCAUCUGUCGGAAAUGAUACAACUACAUGGCCGAGAACUGCUCUCUGAGUGCUUUUCUUGUUUCCACUCUGGAUCUUUAUCAGCCACAAAUUGAAAAUAAAACCAGGUGGAAGAAAAGCCUUUUAUUACCGAUGAUAAAAUCCUGGUCUGAUGGAGGUGCAGCUCUGACCGUCGACAGGUUUUUCAAAUCACACCGGAGGUGAUUACGCCUCUUUAAUCCGCCUCCAACUCAUUUUUCUCAGGAAGCUUUUAGUGAAUCAGAGGUUCCCUGCUCACAUCUUCUCUGCGGUCCACUUCUGGCCGGCUAUUUUGGGCGGUUGCUGGGACAGGUAACAUCACCUGGGAAUUACCCGGGAUGCCACCGAAUGGCGAUAAAUCACAGCAAAUGAAGCUCAGGAGGGAGGAGGGGAAGGAAUCAGCAGCAGAAGUAACACGACUUCCUUGGUACGUCCUUCUGAGUGGCCUCGUUGUUCAGAGCAGCUGCAGACAGAAACAGUCGGUUAGUGUCGAAGCUUCCAAACAUCUGCAGCAGCUUUUAUUUCAGCCCAGAGCCUCACAGAUGAGCUCAGUUUGAGUCGGCAUGAAAGAAACGAGUGUUCAGCUGUGAAAACCAAGAAUUAACACAUCCGAGCUGAAAAAUACAGUCUGGUCUGAAUGCUUCUACAAAUAUGAGAGGAAAUAAAGAUGUUAAAAUCUG